rnacentral:rRNA from 1 species
GACGAACGCUGGCGGCGUGCUUAACACAUGCAAGUCGAACGGAAAGGCCUCUUUCGGGGGGUACUCGAGUGGCGAACGGGUGAGUAACACGUGAGUAACCUGCCCUGGACUUUGGGAUAACUUCAGGAAACUGGGGCUAAUACCGGAUAGGAGCUCCUGCUGCAUGGUGGGGGUUGGAAAGUUUCGGCGGUUGGGGAUGGACUCGCGGCUUAUCAGCUUGUUGGUGGGGUAGUGGCUUACCAAGGCUUUGACGGGUAGCCGGCCUGAGAGGGUGACCGGCCACAUUGGGACUGAGAUACGGCCCAGACUCCUACGGGAGGCAGCAGUGGGGAAUAUUGCACAAUGGGUGGAAGCCUGAUGCAGCAACGCCGUGUGCGGGAUGACGGCCUUCGGGUUGUAAACCGCUUUCGCUCAUGACGAAGCUUUGUGUGACGGUAGUGGGUAAAGAAGCACCGGCUAACUACGUG